UUUUUUUUUCAGGAUAUUACACAACAGAUUGGGGGUGUUGACUGUGUGGUCUUCAUGUUGAUGGUGAGAUAUUCUGGUUUGAUUUUUUUUUAAUUUGACGAUAAUGUUUCUUAACUUUUGCUGUUUUUCAGUAUGCUCUACAUCUUGUCAUGGGAGCACCCUUUGAUUUUACAUCUUGCAACUUUCCAAACAUUCGGAGAUGGUGGUGUCUAAUUCUUCUAGAAAACUUUGGGGGUUUCUCUGAAAGUGCAGAAAUCCCUACAAGAAGAGAACAAGCUACGCUGAGCAGCAGUGAAGCAGAGCACCCAAUAAUCUGGCACAUGAAUAAAGCUCUGGAAUGGCUCUAUUCCAACAGCCAUCUGUUCAAGGGUCCAGUGGAGGAGCCUCUUUUCAUCCGAAUGGAUGAAGCUCAAGAAGGAAAAAGCCCUCAACAAUCUCCAGGAAGAGACGGAAGAUUCAAAAGAGCCCUUUGUGUUUCAGUUUGAGCUCAGGGAUGACAUGGAGGUUUUUUUGCAAGAAUGCCAUGACAAAAUGGGCCUCAGAGUAAAUUCUGCGUUUGACAUAUUUUGAAGUUUAUUUACAUUUUUCUUUCUUUUAAAACGAUUAAAAGAAUCAUUGGCUUCUUUUUUUU
ensembl:lncRNA